AGCAAAAUUGUUGGGAUGGCUAGGAUUUCAAAAUAUUACUUCAUAAUAAGCACAAAACACAUCUUAAAGCACAUAUUAUGGGUCCAGAAGAACACAUCUUUCAGUCUUGAAGAAGUAUUUAAACUACCCUGGCAGAUGAAGAUUUGGAUUUGGCUUGCUUGAUGCUGGACGAUUAAUGAAGGAAGCCCUAACUGGACAAAUGUUGGUCUCCUGAGACAAUGUGUUGUUGAUAACAGAAAAGGAUUGACAAUAAGAUGUGGAUGUUCAUCUUUAAUGAACUCUAGUCACCAAGUGGAAGUCAGCUAAGUUUGAUGAUGCAAUUGACCACCUUCUCAGCAACAGCUGAAUAUUUGCUCCUCAAAAUGGUAAAGUAAUGCUGUAUUCAUAGAUAAUAUGAAGAACCACCUGUUCCUCUACUUGGAUUUUUUGUGUCUGUCAUAAUUUCUUGGGACAUUUCUCAUUAGUGGUAAUAGCAGGAUAUGCUGGCUAGUAUUUAUGCAGUCAGAAAUGGUAAUUAGUAAGAAUAAAAUUAAUAAAUAAGAAUUAGAGGCUGUGUAAUCCUGUAAAAUAUUGAGAAAUUUAUGUUCAUGUAUUUUAAUCUAUGUAAAGGAAUAAGUCCACUCAUAACUUAAUUGGUUUUGUUUGUAAUCAUGUUUGGCAUUUUAGAGAAGAGUUCACUGAAAGGGGUCUGUUUUAUAUUGUUCUCACUUUCUAAUAUAAGACUCUUAUUUAAAAGACUCUUUGUUUUCAAUUAUGAAAAUACUUUCCUGAUCUCAAUAGCCAA